rnacentral:ncRNA from 2 species
UGGAUGAAACAGGGGUGCUGCACGCAUGGGGCGUGUAGCUGAGAGAGUCCCUUCGAACCCGAUCCGGUUAGUACCGGCGUGGGAAGUUUCAAGCAUAACCGU